ACCAGUGACGAUAGGACGUUGAAUACAUCAGUUCCCAAUGAUUCACUGAAAUUAAUCAACUUCGUGCGUGGUGGGUACCUGGAUGGGUGACCAUCUGAGCUGUCGCCCGGUGCUGGCU
rnacentral:rRNA from 1 species